rnacentral:misc_RNA from 1 species
CAACCCUCACGCCCCUAGGGCGUGGUGUUGGGGAUCGGCCAGCGCCCUCGCGGGCGAGGCCGUCCCCUAAAUCUAGUGGCGGACCCGUCGUGGCCUCCCCUGCGAAGUAGUGAUAUUCCGCAUAGGAGAGCGACGAGCCCCUGCCGUUAAACCCCCAACUUUCUCA